rnacentral:lncRNA from 1 species
AAAAGCUUCCCAAGGCGCCAACCUUCAAGAUUUAAAGGGAAGUAGGGCUGAUUUAGCUCUGUUCUGGUUCUGUUUCUGCUCAGCAUUCUCAGGUCUAAGAUUCCUGGGUUGGCUUCUGAGAGGGAGGAGACAGCCACCACAGCAAGAACAGCACCAGGAGUUUUAGAUUAAAAAUGGAAAGCAGAGAGUAGGGGAUGAGGCCUGUGGGCUGAGGACUGCCUGGCUCAGAACGGUGGAGGGAGAAGGUCAAGAGGAGGAGGGGAGCCAUCAGAGCUAACUGCCCGUCACCUGCUUGCCUUCAGAAGAUGUGCCUUCCGGGACCUGGUGGAGAGCAGAUGCCAGUGAGGUGCCUGUGGAGAGAAGGAAGCGUUUUCAUGUUCAGCCACACUUCUGCGGUCAUGCAAUUGGGCUCCAGGUGUGUGGCUGUACUGUCUCCACUCCCUGGUGAUUGGAGGAGGCUGAUCACAGGAGCUGCCUUGCAGUGAGUAUUCUGGCAUUUGAAGCAUCCAGGCCAAAGCUGAGGAUGUCAAGGGGAUUUCUAAGAAGAAAGAUGUUGCUGCUGGCAUCCAUACACCAUCAAGGUUGCCAUGAAAUGAGUGGCUUUGCUCCACCAAGUGUUCCAUGGACUGAGUGACCAUGGAAUAAAACCUGAUAUCAAUCUUUUGACAUGCAAACAAUUUGAACCUAGCACCUGAUGCCAGUCUUCUAGCAAGAGAUCAAGUGGGACUACGUGUAUUAAC